rnacentral:rRNA from 1 species
AUGGACGGCUCCAUCUCCACCACCACAUCCUCCUCCUCCCCUCUCCGCUUCGCCAAGAAGCCUCCCAGCCCGAGGCCCCUCCUCAACCCCGCCCCACGCCUCGCCCGCCGCCAGCCCACCCGCCUCCGCGCCAUCUCGCCGUCGCCGUCCCCUCCGACCCCGACGCCGCCGCCGCCGCAGCAGCAGCAGCCGAUGGAGGCGUUCGGCUUCGACGCGCUCAAGGAGACCUUCUCGGUGGACGUGGCGGCGGCCGAGGCGCGCCCACUCAACGUGCCGCUCGCCGCGCCCUUCACCAUCGCCUCCUCGCGCCUCGACGCCGUCUCCAACGUCGCCGUGCGGGUCGAGCUCUCCAGCGGCGCCGUCGGCUGGGGCGAGGCCCCGGUCCUCCCCUCCGUCACCGCCGAGGACCAGCCGGCCGCGCUCGCCGCCGUCGGACGCGCCUGCGCCGCGCUCGUGGCCGCCCGGGGCGCGCCCCUCGGCGCCGUGCUCCAGGACGUCGCCGACGCGCUGCCAGGACACGCCUUCGCGUCGGCCAGGGCAGGAGUGGAGAUGGCAGUGAUUGACGCAGUUGCUAACAGCAUCCGCAUACCCUUGUGGAGAUUAUUUGGCGGAGCAUCGAACAGUGUGACGACAGACAUCACGAUUCCAAUUGUUACCCCAAAUGAAGCCGCUCAAUUGGCUGCAAAAUAUCGGGGACAAGGGUUUCAAACUCUGAAGCUCAAAGUAGGAAAAAAUUUGAACUCAGACAUUGAAGUUCUGAAGGCUAUAAGGCUUGUCCAUCCUGACUGCUCAUUUAUCUUGGAUGCAAAUGAAGGGUACACAGCAAACCAAGCAAUUGAAGUCCUUGACAGACUAAACGAAAUGGGAGUAACUCCUGUACUCUUUGAGCAACCAGUUCAUAGAGAUGACUGGGAAGGUCUCCGUGAUGUUAGCAUUGCUGCUAUGGAGAAAUACAGAGUUGCUGUUGCUGCUGAUGAAAGCUGCCGCGGUUUACUUGAUGCUCAAAAAAUAAUACAUGGAAAUCUUGCUCAUGUUAUUAACAUCAAACUGGCAAAGUUAGGGGUUCUUGGAGCCCUCGAAGUAAUUGAUGCCGCAAGAAAAGCUGGUAUUGCACUUAUGAUUGGUGGUAUGGUCGAGACUAGGAUUGCCAUGGGCUUUGCCGGCCAUCUCACUGCUGGGCUUGGUUGUUUCAGUUUUAUUGACCUGGACACACCUCUUUUAUUGUCCGAAGAUCCAGUGUACGGUGGCUAUGAAGCUUCUGGACCUGUCUACAAGUUUAAGAAUGCUCGAGGCCAUGGCGGUUUCCUUCAUUUGGACAACAAUAAUGGAUGGAUACUUUACCUGGCCUCUGACCUACACAUGAUCUGA